rfam:Aedes aegypti strain Liverpool supercont1.1419 genomic scaffold, whole genome shotgun sequence.
CCUCUCGUGGUGUAGAGGUAACGCGCUCUAUCUAGUGAACAGGGAGUUGUGAGUUCGAUUUUCACCGAGAAGA